rnacentral:rRNA from 1 species
UACGUAGGUGGCAAGCGUUGUCCGGAAUUAUUGGGCGUAAAGGGUGCGUAGGUGGCUUGAAAAGUUUGAUGUGAAAGCUCAGGGCUUAACCCUGAAAUGGCAUUGAAUACUGUCGAGCUGGAGGUUUGGAGGGGGGACUGGAAUUCUUGGUGUAGCAGUGAAAUGCGUAGAUAUCAAGAGGAACACCGGUGGCGAAGGCGGCCACCUGGACGGUCACUGACGCUGAGACGCGAAAGCGUGGGGAGCAAACAGG